GGGUUAUGUGACUGUGAACACGCAG
rnacentral:piRNA from 1 species